UACGUAGGGCGCAAGCGUUAUCCGGAAUUAUUGGGCGUAAAGAGCUCGUAGGCGGUUUGUCGCGUCUGCUGUGAAAGACCGGGGCUCAACUCCGGUUCUGCAGUGGGUACGGGCAGACUAGAGUGCAGUAGGGGAGACUGGAAUUCCUGGUGUAGCGGUGAAAUGCGCAGAUAUCAGGAGGAACACCGAUGGCGAAGGCAGGUCUCUGGGCUGUAACUGACGCUGAGGUGCGAAAGCGUGGGGAGCAAACAGG
rnacentral:rRNA from 1 species